AGGGUUUGAUCAUGGCUCAGAACGUACGCUGGCGGCACGCCUAACACAUGCAAGUCGAACGAAGUAGUAAUACUUAGUGGCAGACGGGUGAGUAACAUGUGGGUAUCUGCCCUUUGGCCUGGAAUAACACGAGGAAACUUGUGCUAAUACUGGAUAAGUCUUAACGGAGAAAGCUUUAUGCACCAUUGGAUGAGCCCGCACUUGAUUAGUUUGUUGGUGGGGUAAUGGCCUACCAAGACUUUGAUCAAUAGCUGAUUUGAGAGGAUGAUCAGCCACAUUGGGACUGAGACACGGCCCAAACUCCUACGGGAGGCAGCAGUGGGGAAUCUUGCACAAUGGAGGAAACUCUGAUGCAGCGAUGCCGCGUGAGUGAAGAAGGCCCUUGGGUUGUAAAGCUCUUUCGUCGGGGAAGAAAAUGACUGUACCCGAAUAAGAAGGUCCGGCUAACUUCGUGCCAGCAGCCGCGGUAAUACGAAGGGACCUAGCGUAGUUCGGAAUUACUGGGCUUAAAGAGUUCGUAGGUGGUUGAAAAAGUUGGUGGUGAAAUCCCAGAGCUUAACUCUGGAACUGCCAUCAAAACUUUUCAGCUAGAGUUUGAUAGAGGAAAGCAGAAUUUCUAGUGUAGAGGUGAAAUUCGUAGAUAUUAGAAAGAAUACCAAUUGCGAAGGCAGCUUUCUGGAUCAUUACUGACGCUGAGGAACGAAAGCAUGGGUAGCGAAGAGGAUUAGAUACCCUCGUAGUCCAUGCCGUAAACGAUGUGUGUUAGACGUUGGAAAUUUAUUUUCAGUGUCGCAGCGAAAGCGAUAAACACACCGCCUGGGGAGUACGACCGCAAGGUUAAAACUCAAAUGAAUUGACGGGGACCCGCACAAGUAGUGGAGCAUGUGGUUUAAUUCGGAAGAUACGCGCAGAACCUUACCAACACUUGACAUGUUCGUCGCGACUUUAAGAGAUUAAAGUUUUCGGUUCGGCCGGACGAAACACAGGUGCUGCAUGGCUGUCGUCAGCUCGUGUCGUGAGAUGUUGGGUUAAGUCCCGCAACGAAGCGCAACCCUCACUUUUAGUUGCCAUCAUUAAGUUGGGCACUCUGAAAGAACUGCCAGUGAUAAGCUGGAGGAAGGUGGGGAUGACGUCAAGUCCUCAUGGCCCUUACGUGUUGGGCUACACACGUGCUACAAUGGUAUCUACAACAGGAAGCGAAACAGCGAUGUUAAGCAAAUCCUUAAAAGAUACCUCAGUUCGGAUUGCACUCUGCAACUCGAGUGCAUGAAGCUGGAAUUACUAGUAAUCGUGGAUCAGCGUGCCACGGUGAAUGCGUUCCCGGGUCUUGUACACACCGCCCGUCACACCAUGGGAGUUGGUUCUACCUUAAGGCAAGGUUUAAUACCCUUGACCACGGUAUAGUCAGCGACUGGGGUGAAGUCAUAACAAGGUAGCCGUA
rnacentral:rRNA from 1 species